GAUGAACGCUGGCGGCGUGCUUAACACAUGCAAGUCGAACGGUGAACGAGGGAGCUUGCUCCCUCCGGAUCAGUGGCGAACGGGUGAGUAACACGUGAGCAAUCUGCCCUGGACUCUGGGAUAAGCGUUGGAAACGACGUCUAAUACCGGAUACGAGGCGUGGGGGCAUCCCCAACGCCUGGAAAGAACUUCGGUCCAGGAUGAGCUCGCGGCCUAUCAGCUUGUUGGUGAGGUAACGGCUCACCAAGGCGACGACGGGUAGCCGGCCUGAGAGGGUGACCGGCCACACUGGGACUGAGACACGGCCCAGACUCCUACGGGAGGCAGCAGUGGGGAAUAUUGCACAAUGGGCGCAAGCCUGAUGCAGCAACGCCGCGUGAGGGACGACGGCCUUCGGGUUGUAAACCUCUUUUAGCAGGGAAGAAGCGAAAGUGACGGUACCUGCAGAAAAAGCACCGGCUAACUACGUGCCAGCAGCCGCCGUAAUAC
rnacentral:rRNA from 1 species